rnacentral:rRNA from 3 species
AAAUUGAAGAGUUUGAUCAUGGCUCAGAUUGAACGCUGGCGGCAGGCCUAACACAUGCAAGUCGAACGGUAACAGGAAGCAGCUUGCUGCUUCGCUGACGAGUGGCGGACGGGUGAGUAAUGUCUGGGAAACUGCCUGAUGGAGGGGGAUAACUACUGGAAACGGUGGCUAAUACCGCAUAACGUCGCAAGACCAAAGAGGGGGACCUUCGGGCCUCUUGCCAUCAGAUGUGCCCAGAUGGGAUUAGCUUGUUGGUGAGGUAACGGCUCACCAAGGCGACGAUCCCUAGCUGGUCUGAGAGGAUGACCAGCCACACUGGAACUGAGACACGGUCCAGACUCCUACGGGAGGCAGCAGUGGGGAAUAUUGCACAAUGGGCGCAAGCCUGAUGCAGCCAUGCCGCGUGUAUGAAGAAGGCCUUCGG